rnacentral:rRNA from 1 species
UACAGAGGUCCCAAGCGUUGUUCGGAUUCACUGGGCGUAAAGGGUGCGUAGGUGGUUAGGUAAGUCCGAUGUGAAAUCUCCAGGCUCAACCUGGAAAUGGCAUUGGAUACUAUCUAGCUUGAGGAGUGGAGGGGGGACUGGAAUUCUCGGUGUAGCAGUGAAAUGCGUAGAUAUCGAGAGGAACACCAGUGGCGAAGGCGAGUCCCUGGACACUUCCUGACACUGAGGCACGAAGGCCAGGGGAGCAAACGGG